AAACCAACAGGGAUUGCCUUAGUAGCGGCGAGUGAAGCGGCAAAAGCUCAAAUUUGAAAUCUGGCACUUUCAGUGUCCGAGUUGUAAUUUGAAGAAGGUAUCUUUGGGUCUGGCUCUUGUCUAUGUUUCUUGGAACAGAACGUCACAGAGGGUGAGAAUCCCGUGCGAUGAGAUGACCCAGACCUAUGUAAAGUUCCUUCGAAGAGUCGAGUUGUUUGGGAAUGCAGCUCUAAGUGGGUGGUAAAUUCCAUCUAAAGCUAAAUAUUGGCGAGAGACCGAUAGCGAACAAGUACAGUGAUGGAAAGAUGAAAAGAACUUUGAAAAGAGAGUGAAAAAGUACGUGAAAUUGUUGAAAGGGAAGGGCUUGAGAUCAGACUUGGUAUUUUGUAUGUUACUCUUUCGGGGGUGGCCUCUACAGUUUACCGGGCCAGCAUCAGUUUGGGCGGUAGGGGAAUUGCAAAGAAAUGUGGCACUGCUUCGGUAGUGUGUUAUAGUCUUUGUCGAUACUGCCAGCCUAGACUGAGGACUGCGGCUUCGGCCUAGGAUGUUGGCAUAAUGAUCUUAAGUCGC
rnacentral:rRNA from 1 species